rnacentral:misc_RNA from 1 species
GAUGAAGAACGCAGCGAAAUGCGAUAAGUAAUGUGAAUUGCAGAAUUCAGUGAAUCAUCGAAUCUUUGAACGCACAUUGCGCCCCUUGGUAUUCCGAGGGGCAUGCCUGUUCGAGCGUCAUUAUAACCCCUCAAGCUCAGCUUGGUGUUGGGGCCUGCUGCACUGGCAGCCCUUAAAAUCAGUGGCGGCGCCAUCUGGCUCUAAGCGUAGUAAUUCUUCUCGCUAUGGAGUCCUGGAGGAUGCUUGCCAUCAACCCCCAAUUUUUCUAUGGUUGACCUCGGAUCAGGUAGGGAUACCCGCUGAACUUAAGCAUAUCAAUAAGCGGAGGA